GUAGGUGAACCUGCGGAAGGAUCAUUAUCACGUAUCCACGUAUAAACCAAUUGUGAACUGUCAACAAAACCUUUGGAAAUUCUAGCUGGGUGGACCUAUUCAUUGUGUGAUUUUGAAUAACCAUCUGAACGUGUAUGUUCCUUCGGGAUCAUUCAUAAAACAUGGCUUUAUUUCUGGAGUUGUAUCCAAACCACACUUUUAAAUUAACCACUUGAACCUAAAUUUUUUCUUUGUUUGAACUGAUUUGUUUCUUACUUCGUACUUGUAUGGAGAAGAAAUUAUAUUACGAAACAUAAAAGAACAACUCUUAGCAACGGAUAUCUUGGUUCUC
rnacentral:misc_RNA from 1 species